CUUUUGACGUAUAGCCAAGAGGAGGCUAUAAAAGCGCAAGCAGCGAGGGAGAGGGAUGGUGAGAAGGGAGGGAAGAGACAUGGUGUCGGACGUAGAGCUCGUCGAGCGGCUUCGGGAGUUCCUCCGGGCAUCCGACCUCUCCACGACCACCACCUUUGUUAGGUUUUGAUGGUCACAUUGCGAGAGUCGGGUUUAAUUAGGGUUCGGCUCACCGGCCGGGUUAGAGAUGACAUCUUUGGCUUUCGCAUAUGUCUUCAGCGAGGGAUAUUAUACUUGAUUAAGGACCACCGAAGAGCUUCAUGGUUGACCUAGACAGACCUUUUCCUUUUUAAGAUCAAAUAAACUCAGCGACGUAGUCAGGAAGCGGGGAGGUGGCUUUACCAAACUUUGUAGUCUUUCUCCUCUACUACAGGAUUUUGUUGGCAAAUCAGAAUUAGCUAGAACUGAGCAGGCCCAGUGACUCCAGCGAAGCCAGAACAAAAUAACAAGAAGCCCAAGAAAGAAAGAGAAGGUAAGCAGCAAAAAAGAGGAUCAUCAGGUCUCCUUGUGCCCCUUCCACUUUCAGAUGAUCUGAUGAAAAUUCUUUGGUACUGGUGAAAGUACAUUAUCACGAUCUGAUGUCGUGAAAAGGAUGUGGGAGUACAUAAAACAAAACAACCUGCAGGUAUAUUGCUUCAUUUGGAUGGGAAAUGCAUUAUGCUAUUGUGCAUUCUUAAUUUCAAUGUGACUACAAAAUAAUAAUUGCUUUUUACUGUCUAGUGGUUAUUAAUGGAGCAUAGUUAACCAAUUUGGCAUAUGCGAUUUUUCUCUGACUCAAUGACUGACAUGUUUCUUUUACAUAAUUGAAAUGCUAACAACUAAAAUUCUCAUUCUUGGAUCCCCUACAAUGUGUUGCCAAGAACUAUUAGAUCAGAUUUUUCAGUGGCAGUCUAAUUGGCUGUGGUAGUUGUCAUUUUUCCUUAAAAUACCAUCUCUGCUUUUCAUAUGAAGUACCAGAAGGAGAAAGGAUAAUAUCAUGGAACAUCAUAAAUAACAACUUCGCCCAAUUAAUAAUAUUUUAUUAUAAAAAUUCAUAUAAUGAAACUCAUCUUCAAGUGCUAUGUGAAGGUGGAAUAUCUUUGUAAUUAUACAUUGUAUGCUAUAUAUAUAUAUGUAUAUAUAUGUAUGUAUAUGUAUGUAUGUAUAUAUAUGUAUGUAUAUAUAUGUAUGUAUGUAUGUAUAUAUAUAUAUAUAUAUAUAUA